AAAUUGAAGAGUUUGAUCAUGGCUCAGAUUGAACGCUGGCGGCAGGCCUAACACAUGCAAGUCGAACGGUAGCACAGAGAGCUUGCUCUCGGGUGACGAGUGGCGGACGGGUGAGUAAUGUCUGGGAAACUGCCUGAUGGAGGGGGAUAACUACUGGAAACGGUGGCUAAUACCGCAUAACGUCGC
rnacentral:rRNA from 3 species